CCUACGGGUGGCAGCAGUGGGGAAUAUUGCGCAAUGGGGGCAACCCUGACGCAGCAACGCCGCGUGAUUGAAGACGGCCUUCGGGUUGUAAAGAUCUUUAAUCGGGGACGAAUUUUGACGGUACCCGAAGAAUAAACUCCGGCUAACUACGUGCCAGCCGCCACGGUCAAACGUAGGGAGCAAGCGUUAUCCGGAUUUACUGGGUGUAAAGGGCGGUUAGGCGGGCAUGCAAGCCAGAGGGUAAAUCUGGGGGCUGAAGCCCCGAACUGCGUUGGGAACUGCGUGGCUUGAGUGAUGGAGAGGUAGGCGGAAUGCCCGGUGGAGAGGUGAAAUGCGUAGAUAUUGGGAGGAACACCAGUGGCGAAGGCGGCCUGCUGGACAUUAACUGACGCUGAGGCGCGAAAGCGUGGGGAGCAAACAGGAGUAGAUACCCGGGUAGUC
rnacentral:rRNA from 1 species